GAUGAAGAACGUAGCGAAAUGCGAUACGUAAUGUGAAUUGCAGAAUUCAGUGAAUCAUCGAGUCUUUGAACGCACAUUGCGCCCCCUGGUAUUCCGGGGGGCAUGCCUGUCCGAGCGUCAUUGCUGCCCUCAAGCACGGCUUGUGUGUUGGGCCUCCGUCCUCCUCCCGGGGGACGGGCCCGAAAGGCAGCGGCGGCACCGCGUCCGGUCCUCGAGCGUAUGGGGCUUCGUCACCCGCUCUUGUAGGNCCGGCCGGCGCUUGCCGACACAUCAAUCUUUUUUCCAGGUUGACCUCGGAUCAGGUAGGGAUACCCGCUGAACUUAAGCAUAUCAAUAAGCGGAGGA
rnacentral:misc_RNA from 1 species